rnacentral:rRNA from 1 species
AUUGAACGCUGGCGGCGUGCUUAACACAUGCAAGUCGAACGAAGUGGCGCACGGGUGAGUAACGCGUAAUCAACCUGCACUUCAGAGGGGGACAACAGUAGGAAACGACUGCUAAUACCGAAUACUGAAGGAGGGGAUUGGGUCGGAUUAGCUAGUUGGCGGGGUAACGGCCCACCAAGGCGAUGAUCAGUAGCCGGUCUGAGAGGAUGAACAGCCACAUUGGGACUGAGACACGGCCCAGACUCCUACGGGAGGCAGCAGUGGGGAAUCUUCCGCAAUGGGCGAAAGUCUGACGCAGCAACGCCGCGUGAGUGAUGACGGCCUUCGGGUUGUAAAGCUCUGUUAAUCGGGACGCGUUACCGGAAGAGAAAGCCACGGCUAACUCCGUGCCAGCAGCCGCGGUAAUAC